rnacentral:rRNA from 1 species
UACGUAGGGGGCGAGCGUUGUCCGGAUUUAUUGGGCGUAAAGAGCUCGUAGGCGGUUCGGUAAGUCGGAUGUGAAAUCUCCACGCUCAACGUGGAGGGGCCAUUCGAAACUGCCGUGACUUGAGUACGGUAGGGGAGUGUGGAAAUUCCCGGUGUAGCGGGUGAAAAAUGCGCAGAGAUCGGGGAGGAACACCCCCGUAGCGAAGGCGGGCACUCUGGGGCCCGAUACUGACGCUGAGGGAGCGAAAAGCGUGGGGGGGGAGCAAAACAGGG